rnacentral:sRNA from 1 species
GCUGGGUGGGGUGGUGCACACCUGUAAUCCUAGCAACUGGGAGGCCGAGGCAGGAGGACCACAAGUUCUAGGCCAGCCUCAGCAACUUAGUAAGACCCUGACUCAA